rnacentral:tRNA from 1 species
UGUUCUUUGGCUUAGUUGGUUAAAGCAUCAGACAUGCGAUUACGGAGUCGUGGGUUCAAAUCUCACCAGAAUAA